GUAGAGCGUCGAUUGCUCACCGCCGGGGGUAGAGCACUGGAUGGGCUAGGGGGGCGCGAGCCUUACCAAACCUAACCAAACUCCGAAUACCGGCGAGUGGAGAUCGGCAGCCAGACGGCGGGUGCUAAGGUCCGUCGUCGAGAGGGAAACAGCCCAGACCGCCAGCUAAGGUCCCCAAGUCGUGGCUAAGUGGUGAAGGAUGUGGGACGGCCAAGACAACCAGGAGGUUGGCUUAGAAGCAGCCAUCCUUUAAAGAAAGCGUAAUAGCUCACUGGUCUAUCCAGCUGUCCUGCGCCGAAAAUGUAACGGGGCUAAAGCCACGCACCGAAGCUGCGGGUGUGCGCGCAAGCGCACGCGGUAGCGGAGCGUUCCGUAGGCCUGUGAAGGCAUGCCGUGAGGCGUGCUGGAGGUAUCGGAAGUGCGAAUGCUGACAUGAGUAGCGUCUAUGAGGGUGAGAAACCCUCACGCCGAAAGUCCAAGGGUUCCUGCGCAAGGUUAAUCCGCGCAGGGUUAGCCGGGCCCCUAAGGCGAGGGCGAGAGCCGUAGCCGAUGGGAAUGGGGUUAAUAUUCCCCAGCCUGCCGGAGCGUGACGAAGGCCAAGGGUUGUUCCGCCUUAUUGGAUUGGCGGGGCGGCCUGCGGACUUCCAGGAAACAGCGCCGGCAUUAAAGACCGUACCCCAAACCGACACUGGUGGACUGGUAGAGUAUACCAAGGCGCUUGAGAGAACGGUGUUGAAGGAACUCGGCAAAAUGCCCCCGUAACUUCGGGAGAAGGGGGCCCUGUCUUGGCGCAAGCCGAGGCAGGGGGCACAAAAGAGGGGGUGGCGACUGUUUACUAAAAACACAGGGCUCUGCGAAGUCGCAAGACGACGUAUAGGGUCUGACGCCUGCCCGGUGCCGGAAGGUUAAGAGGAGGGGUGCAAGCUCUGAAUCGAAGCCCCGGUAAACGGCGGCCGUAACUAUAA
rnacentral:ncRNA from 1 species